rfam:Macrostomum lignano uti_cns_0015441, whole genome shotgun sequence.
GGGAGUGUAGCCCAGUGGUUAGAGCGUCAGACUCACGACUUGAAGGUCUGGGGUUCGAUUCCCGAUCAAAACCA